AUGGAGAUGAAACCCAAAAGAUUUUCAUUGGGGCGUAACCCUCUCAACGACGCACCACAUCGGAACCCGGGUGUGGUGGAAAAUGGGCAAGGGUCGGGCCGUCACCCCCCAGGUGGCGCGCCAUAUCUUGAUCCGGAUACGGUGGCAAGUGAGCGAGGAUCGGGUCGUCGCAUCCUUAGUGGCACGCUACAUCGGCGCCCGGAUGUAGUGGAAAAUGAGCAAGGGUCUUCGCAUUUGACUCGACGAGUGCGAAAUGUAAGGAAGCUAGCCGAGCCUAGGAGGAUUCGCUUAGGUAGCUGGAAUGUAGGGUCUCUGGCAGGGAAGCUUCGGGAGCUAGUUGAUGCAGCGGUGAGGAAAGGUGUUGAUAUCCUUUGCGUCCAAGAAACCAAAUGGAGAGGACAGAAGGCGAAGGAGGUGGAGGGUACCGGCUUCAAGCUGUAG
rnacentral:rRNA from 1 species